rnacentral:rRNA from 1 species
AAUGAACGUUGGCGGCGUGGAUUAGGCAUGCAAGUCGUGCGGAAAGGCUCCUUCGGGAGUACUCGAGCGGCGAAAGGGAGAGUAACGCGUGGAUAUCUACCCCCUGGACUGGGACAGCGGCGGGAAACUGCCGGUAAUACCAGAUAAUGUCUGCGGACCAAAGGUGUGAUUCCGCCGGGGGAUGAGUCCGCGUCCUAUUAGCUAGUUGGUGGGGUAACGGCCUACCAAGGCAAAGAUGGGUACCGGGUGUGAGAGCAUGGCCCGGCUCACUGGGACUGAGACACUGCCCAGACACCUACGGGUGGCUGCAGUCGAGAAUCUUCGGCAAUGGGCGAAAGCCUGACCGAGCGACGCCGCGUGCGGGAUGAAGGCCUUCGGGUUGUAAACCGCUGUCAGAGGGGAGGAAAUGCAUGAGGGUUCUCUCUCAUGUUUGACCUAUCCUCAGAGGAAGUGUGGGCUAAGUUCGUGCCAGCCGCCGCAGUAAAAC